GGGGUCCUGGUUCUUACCACAGGCUGUGUUCUUACACUGACUGUAUAGAAAGAGGAGGCAAAGUAAACCUACCCCCUAUACACAUACCUCAGCCCAGGCCUUGUGCCUGGUCUGUAUUUUGAAUGAGAAGACAUGG
rnacentral:snoRNA from 1 species